AGAAUAGAUCCGCUCUUAGGAAAUGGAAGCCAGGAGUUAAUUUUAUGGGUAUAUGAUCCCGAAACUGCAGAUGCUUCUGAACUGAACCGCACAGCAAUUAGACCUUCACAAAGUUCUCAGAAACUCAGCAAGCUGUUCUGGAAUUUGGGACAGGAACCUGUUGUUCAUACCCAUUUGAGAAAGAACG